AGAGUUUGAUCAUGGCUCAGAACGAACGCUGGCGGCGUGGAUUAGGCAUGCAAGUCGAACGCGAAAGAGGGGGCAACUCCUCGAGUAGAGUGGCGAACGGGUGAGUAACGCGUGAAGAACCUGCCCUCAACAGGGGGACAACACUCCUAACGGGGUGCUAAUACCGCAUGAGACCACGGGUCUGCAUGGUCCCGAGGUCAAAGGUGGCCUCUGCUUGCAAGCUACCGGUUGAGGAUGGCUUCGCGUCCCAUUAGCUAGUUGGCGGUGUAACGGACCACCAAGGCGACGAUGGGUAGCUGGUCUGAGAGGAUGGUCAGCCACACUGGGACUGAGAUACGGCCCAGACUCCUACGGGAGGCAGCAGUCGAGAGGCUUUGGCAAUGGGGGAAACCCUGACCAAGCGACGCCGCGUGGAGGAUGAAGGCCCUUGGGUCGUAAACUCCUUUUGUCGGGGAAGAAACACGAUCAGGUGAACAAUCUGGUCGCUUGACGGUACCCGGCGAAUAAGCUCCGGCUAACUCCGUGCCAGCAGCCGCGGUAACACGGGGGGAGCAAGCGUUGUUCGGAAUUACUGGGCGUAAAGGGCGUGUAGGCGGUCAAGUAAGUGGGAUGUGAAAUCCCUCGGCUCACCCGAGGACCUGCAUCCCAAACUGCUUGGCUUGAGUAUGGGAGAGGAUGAGGGAAUUCCUGGUGUAGCGGUGAAAUGCGUAGAUAUCAGGAGGAACACCGGUGGCGAAGGCGCUCAUCUGGCCCAAUACUGACGCUGAGGCGCGAAAGCUAGGGGAGCAAACGGGAUUAGAUACCCCAGUAGUCC
rnacentral:rRNA from 1 species